rnacentral:rRNA from 1 species
CACGCCAUAAACGAUGGAUACUAGGUGUAGGGGGAUAGACCUUCUGUGCCGUAGUAAACGCAAUAAGUAUCCCGCCUGGGGAGUACGGUCGCAAGACUGAAACUCAAAGGAAUUGACGGGGGCCCGCACAAGCAGCGGAGCAUGUGGUUUAAUUCGAAGCAACGCGAAGAACCUUACCAAGGCUUGACAUCCUGCGCAAUUCAUAGAAAUAUGAAGUUCCUUCGGGACGCAGUGACAGGUGG